rnacentral:tRNA from 1 species
AGUAGAAUAGACUAAAGGAAAGUUGCCAGACUCAUUAUCUGGAGAUGUAGGUUCGAAUCCGAUUUCUAUAU